GGGGACUCGGCCGCCAUGUUAGGAGUACUGGGACGAUUCCGCGGAGCCGGGCAGAGGUUUUAGGGGAAUGAUUAACAAAGGCGUCCGAAGAAAUCGUUGUUGGAAGGUGACCAAGGUGGAAAGAGACGUUGCUUUGGCCCUGCAAGUAAGAAGAGAGAGGGAAUAGCCUGAAGGAGUAACACUAAAUUUAAAAUGACACUUUUUUACCAACCAGCGAAAGCAGAUGUUCAAAGGGGAUAUUGGCCAGAGUCUGUCACACUAAGAUGAGAAAUGUCCUUUCUUCCUGAAGGUGUCUGAUGUGUAAAAAUAUGAUAUACUUUGUGCUGUUUCCUCCCUUCCCUUUUGCAUAUUAUUCUGAAACAACAUUAACUAGUUACUUUGCGUCAUUGAAGAACUCACUUUGAGGCCAAGCGUGG
rnacentral:lncRNA from 1 species